rnacentral:rRNA from 1 species
AACGAACGCUGGCGGCAUGCCUAACACAUGCAAGUCGAACGAACCCUUCGGGGUGAGUGGCGCACGGGUGCGUAACACGUGGGAACCUGCCCUUAGGUUCGGAAUAACACAGAGAAAUUUGUGCUAAUACCGGAUAAUGUCUUCGGACCAAAGAUUUAUCGCCUUUGGAUGGGCCCGCGUAGGAUUAGCUAGUUGGUGAGGUAAAGGCUCACCAAGGCGACGAUCCUUAGCUGGUCUUAGAGGAUGAUCAGCCACACUGGGACUGGGACACGGCCCAGACUCCUACGGGAGGCAGCAGUGGGGAAUAUUGGACAAUGGGCGAAAGCCUGAUCCAGCAAUGCCGCGUGAGUGAUGAAGGCCUUAGGGUUGUAAAGCUCUUUUACUGGGGAUGAUAAUGACAGUACCCAGAGAAUAAGCCCCGGCUAACUCCGUGCCAGCAGCCGCGGUAA